GAAUGAAUUGCUGGGAGAACCUGAGACAGCCCAGAGGCCAUCCGCAGGUUCAGCAAUGAAUCACCCCUGACCGGGUGAGCGGGCUAGUCCUUACUCCGGCUGGGGGUGAGCAGGAUAGAUGAGAAUUCACCCCUUUCAUCCUGGUUUGGAAGCAGGGCCUGUGGCAGGGGGUGAGGGUGGGGGUGGGGGUGGAUUUCUUUCCUGGAUUUUGAAGCUCAGCAUUCAGCUUAGUCCUUUUUGGAAACCAGUGACACAAGGCCUGUUGGGGGCUCACUGAGCAGAGUGAGAUGUAGUAGAGUGAACAUGUACUGAGUGUCUGGCUCCCAGCCCUCUGUCCACCCCUCACUGGUGCAAAUCAUUUAAACUCUUUGGUUCCCACUAAGGCUAAGGCUAAGAAGUAGCAGCUUAUGGAGUUCUUAGUAGCCAUGAAACACUUUUACAUUCAUUUCGUUCUCAUGAUGAGCCCAAUAUGGUCCCCAAUUUGCAGCAAGGCAACUGAUACCCAGAAAGGUAAAGGAGCUGGGCCAAGGCCACACAUGUAGAAAGUGCAGAGCCAGGAUUUGAACCUAGACCUGGCCUCCUGAGCCUGGCUGCUUCACACACGAGCCACACUGCCCGCUUCUCUGCAGCUGCCCAGUGCACUGGUGAGGCCUCUGGGGGCUACUGUCCUUCCAUCGCUAGGAGUGUGUCACUCCCUCCCGGCUCCAAGAGGCAUGAUUUUCAAGUGUGUAGGAGGGCAGGGUGGUGGGUGGCUUCCGGCUGCUUCCAGCAGAGCUGACAUCCUGCCCCAUCCCACCCCUAGCUCUUCUGGGAGGGGUAUCAUCUCUGGGGAGGAGGUGGGAUGAGAUGGGGUGGGUGAGGGCAGCCGCUGGAUGGAGGGGCAAAGAAAUAGAAGGCGAAGGGAAGAUGCUGACUUGGCCCACCCAGGAGACGAGCCUGCCUCCCUCUCUCCUCCGUCACUCUCCUGAGACGGCUCUCUCCCCUCCUUGAGAUGUCAGAAACCUCUCCCUCUGCGGCUGCUGGAGAAGUGCUGAGAGCAGGAGGCUUGGAAACCCAGAGCGCCCUUCCCUGCGCCUGCCAGCCACCCUCCAGAGCUGCCGCAGAAGCUAUAAAAAGCACAGCCCUUCAACAAUAGGUGACAUCACCCAGCAGCAGCAGGAACUGGAUUCUGCCAGAUGCCAGGAGAGCUACGGCCCCACCCUCCCUCGGGACAGGAGCCCUUGGGAACGGGCUGGGGUAUAUUCCACUGGAUCCCCGGAGGGGUGGGUUAGACUGGUGGAGGGAGGCUGAUCCCGAGGGACAUGGCGGGUGGGCGUCACUGUCACUGGAGAUUUUUCAAGGCAUGGGGGACAUGGGAAAGGAGCUGGGAGCGGGGGAGGGAGGUGGGGUGAG